rnacentral:sRNA from 1 species
ACUGGGCAUAGUGGUGCACACCUGUAGUCCCAGUUAUUUGGGAGGUUAAGAUGGGAGUAUCAAUUGAGCCCAGGAGUUUCAGGUCAGCCUGGGCAACAUAGACCCAGCGA